CUAAAAUAAGUUUAUUACAAUAUGCUAUACAGAACAGAACAUGUGAAACUACAUACACUCAUUCACAUCACAACAACCAGUUUCCAUACACUCAUUCACAUCACAUCAACCAGUUUAACCAUCGAAUCUUGCAUACCCAGGAACUUCAAACUUCACCCAGAUCCACACAAUCAUAAAUAUUGGGAUCUACAAAUAGACCGCUCUGCCAGUACAAAAGCUAGCUACUCUUGGAUACCACGGAACAUGCUCUUCAACAUGGGUAGAAGUCCUCAACGGAGUUCUACCAACAACACAAGUUCCAUUCACCUACAAGAAUAGAUUGGAAUAUCAAGUACUUGCAUUCUUCAAGAAGAUUACAACCAGCAUAUAUAUGUAGAAGGACAUCAGGAAAGCUGAUGGAGCAAAAUCAAACAACAGAUAAAUCAAGUAAACAGCCCAUUUGAAAAAAAAUACUACCAGGCUUGAACAUGAGCAUAGAAAAGAAAACAUGAUUUCAGUGAAAUUAAAACGGUCGAUGAAAGCUGAAUAACAGUGCAGCUGAUUAGCUCCUAGUAUGGAGGAACAUCACAAAAUUAAACAAGAUGGCCGUGCAAGUUUCUAUACAAGUAUUCGUGAUUACAGUUUGUUAUUGCCGUCUAAAUUCUCCAACAUGCACAAAAUUAACUAUUACAUCUGAAUGUGCUACCAAUGAAGCAAAUUCUAAAAGAUACACGGACAGGGCUUAAUUAGCCAACCAUGUCAUUCUAUAAACACACAGCAAACUCGACGAUAAUGUGUAUAGUUAUUACCAUAUAACAUGGGAAACAUACCUACUGUCCACAUAUUUUGUAAUGUAAACAGCUAAAUGCUAUAGGAAAUAGAUUGUUGAGCAUUUCUACCCUUCUUUCAAGACAGCACCAGCAUAACACUCUCACUAUAACAAGAUCCACACAUACCACCAUCUACAGCAACUGCACACACAAAACAACCAAGGUUGAAGAGAGUGAGAUUACCUUGUCGCCGUAGAUCUUAGAAGACACCUCGUGCAUGAGG
rnacentral:lncRNA from 1 species